rnacentral:rRNA from 1 species
CAGCCGCCGCGGUAAUACGUAGGUGGCAAGCGUGGUCCGGAAUUAUUGGGCGUAAAGCGCGCGCAGGCGGAUAGGUCAGUCUGUCUUAAAAGUUCGGGGCUUAACCCCGUGAUGGGAUGGAAACUGCCAAUCUAGAGUAUCGGAGAGGAAAGUGGAAUUCCUAGUGUAGCGGUGAAAUGCGUAGAUAUUAGGAAGAACACCAGUGGCGAAGGCGACUUUCUGGACGAAAACUGACGCUGAGGCGCGAAAGCCAGGGGAGCAAACGGGAUUAGAUACCCCAGUAGUCCCUGUCUCUUAUACA